CUGAAGGCCUCGGGUACAUUUUAUCUGGUUAACACCAUGGUGGACAUGCCUGCUGUAAGGUGUCCCCUUAGGAAGUAGGCAUUUGCGACCACAGCGGAGGACACGGACCCUGUAAAUGGCAUAACCUUACUUUGCCUUGUAUCCCAGCCUUUGCGCUUCAUCACACCGGGGAUCUGGAGAGCCCUAUGCAGCUCAGAGAGCUGGCGGUGUGUGAGUUUAACACAACCCUUCAGUCUCUCCAAAUCUGCUGAAUGGUUAUUAUUGCAGGCUUCCCAACUUGACGUUUCCUA
rnacentral:lncRNA from 1 species